rnacentral:lncRNA from 1 species
UUUCUAUAUCCAUGGAAACUUUACAUAAAUAGAACAUAUAUUUUACCAUAAAGCAAAUCUUGAAAAAGUUUUUUAAAAUUUUUUAAUUUGUUAUAUAUUACAAUAGAAUGUAUUACGAUUCAUAUUACACACAUAAAGCACAAUUUUUCAUAUCUCUGAUUGUACACAAAAUAGAGUCACAUCCUUUUUGUCUUCAUACAUGUACUUAGGGUAAUGAUGACCAUCUCAUUCCACCAUCUUUCCUACCACUAUGCCCUCUCCUUUCACUUCCCUCCCCUUUUCCCCUUUGCCCUAUCUAGAGUUCAUGUAAUUCUCCCAUCCCGCCCCCACUCUGGCAGCAUAUUGUGAAUCAGCAUCCUUAAAUCAGAGAAAUCAAUUAUCAUUUGGUUUUUUGGGAUUGGCUAACUUCACUUAGCAUUAUAUUCUCCAGCUCUAUCCGUUUUCCUGCAAAUGCCAUGAUUUUAUUCUCUUUUAAUGCUGAAUAAUAUUCCAUUGUGUAUAUGUACCAUAUUUUCUUUAUCCAUUCAUCUACUGAAGGGCAUCCAGGUUGGUUCCACACUUUAGCUAUUGUGAAUUGUGCUACUAUAAAUAUUGAUGUGGCUGUGUCCCUAUAGUAUGCUGUUUUUAAGUCCUUUGGGUAUAGACUGAAGAGUGGGAUAGCUGGGUCAAAUGGUGGUUCCAUUCCCAGUUUUCCAAGAAUUCUCCAUACUUCUAUCCAUAUGGUUGCACCAAUUUGCAGUCCCAC